rnacentral:lncRNA from 1 species
UUUGGGGUACCAGGACACCAGCUGUGGCCCCCUUCUCGCUCCCGGGAGAAUAUGUGACCCCUUUUUAAAUAACCCUGCUUUACCUGCUUGCCUCUGUGCUUCUCCGAUGGAGUACUCCAACCUGUGGGGAGCAGGACUCGCCACCCGUUACCUCCCAAGUUCCUGCCAGGGCAGCCACUACCUAACCUAAAGGUUCCCAGGAGCUCCGGCCACCUGGGAAAGGUGCUUCAUGGUCUCACCAUCGAAUCCUGAUGGAAUCCUGAAUCCCAGAGGCUCGGCUAAGUCACCUGAGACGAGUCCCAAGCGUGGUGCAGACACUGGGAGGGGAUCCUUGAUCCAGCAAGCCGACACUGAGAUGCAGCAGGGAAGGGACUUCUGUGGAUCGGGCAGAACAUCCUGAGCAGGGCAGUGUGCAAACGGGAGGCUCAGGACGGGGCGCUCAGCCAGAGUCCAGCAGGAGAACUGGCCAUCCCAGCCUCGUGAACUGGCAGCUUCACAACAGCAAGUUCAGGGUACAGUGGCCUCGUGAUGUCCCCCUGCACCUCCCUGAGCACUGAAUGACAUCAGCCGGCAGGGGACAGGGGCCUCCUUGCCUUUCCUGGCUCUCCAGGGACACACACUUUGGACCUUCUGUGUGCAGGUGGUCCCUUGUUGCCAAAAGCUCGGUCCCUAUCCCUGAUGCCAACCCCAUAAGGAGGAAGAGUUUUGAGAAAAAGGAAAGAGGGUUGAUUUGUUUUGCUACAAAGGAGAAACACAGGGGACACCUGUCCCAGAGGCUGGGAUUCUGCCUAUCAUCAGGGGGUAACAGUGGUCCCUUCACCUUCUGGAUGUAGCCCUCACUGAUCUAAGGUUUAUUUAAAAAAGAAAGUUGUUUUUUUUUUGUCUCUCCCCUCUCCCGCUCCCUAACAAGAUUAGGGAGACGGUGUUAUCUUUGCUUCCCAGUUAACUGCCCUUGAACACACCCACUACAGGAAGGAGAAGUCUGCUGAAGAUCUGGGAAGUGGAUGUCUCCCAAAUUAACCAGUGAAUCCUAACACUAUCAGGGCACCCUGGGCCCCCAUACAGGAAAGUAACUCUUAAAAAAUUCCUUUACACCCCCACAACAGGAGCUUUACAGCCUUUGGGACAGGAGUGCCCUGUGUUAUUGCUUUGCUAAUAAAACUU